AUGGGCGCAAGCCUGAUGCAGCCAUGCCGCGUGUGUGAAGAAGGCCUUCGGGUUGUAAAGCACUUUCAGUCAGGAGGAAAGGUUAGUAGUUAAUACCUGCUAGCUGUGACGUUACUGACAGAAGAAGCACCGGCUAACUCCGUGCCAGCAGCCGCGGUAAUACGGAGGGUGCGAGCGUUAAUCGGAAUUACUGGGCGUAAAGCGUACGCAGGCGGUUUGUUAAGCGAGAUGUGAAAGCCCCGGGCUCAACCUGGGAACUGCAUUUCGAACUGGCAAACUAGAGUGUGAUAGAGGGUGGUAGAAUUUCAGGUGUAGCGGUGAAAUGCGUAGAGAUCUGAAGGAAUACCGAUGGCGAAGGCAGCCACCUGGGUCAACACUGACGCUCAUGUACGAAAGCGUGGGGAGCAAACAGGAUUAGAUACCCUGGUAGUCCACGCCGUAAACGAUGUCUACUAGAAGCUCGGAGCCUCNGCUCUGUUUUUCAAAGCUAACGCAUUAAGUAGACCGCCUGGG
rnacentral:rRNA from 1 species